CAGACUUGUGGCUGCCAAGGGACAGGCAGGGAGGGAAAGGGACGGACUGGGAAUGUGGGGUUAGUAGAUGCAAACAAUUACAUGUAGAAUGGAUAAACUACACGGUCCUACUGUACAGCACAGGGAACUUUAUUCAGUAUCCUGGGAUAAACCAUCAUGGAAAAGAAUAUUAAAAAAAAAGAAUAUAUAUGUGUAUAAGUGAGUCACUUUGCUGUACAGCAGAGAUUGGUACAACACUGUACAUCAACUAUACUUCAAUAAAAAUAAGUGAAUAAAUGAAGAGGUGGGUUAGCUCAGAGGGUGGCAUUCUAUCCUAUUCUGUUCUGGCAUGGGAGUAACUGAAGCAGGGACUAUUUUUGAAACAUCUCAACUCUGACAAGGAGGAUGAAACGGCCCAGCUCCCUGUGGUGUGUCUCAAUCACUGCCGCCGGCACUACCUUGCCUCACCCUUCCCUUCGAUCCUGAACUAAGGAAAACGGAGAUACUGAUUUGGACCAGGUGGGGCUGAUGGGAGAGACAAAAUCCUUUACAGACGGACGUUUGCAGGCUUUGUGCGGGGGAUGGCAGCAGUAAACAGCUGGGCUCUGUGAGUACAAGGCAAGUGGCUCUAAAUGAGUGAGGCUCUACGACGGUGGUUUUCAACCACCCCUGACCGUGGAAUCGUCUGGGGAGCGUUCGCAAAACUUCUUAUGAUUUCGGGAGAUUCUGAAUUAACUGGCUUGUGAAGGGGCCUUGUUAGGGUUCUCAGAUAUAGCAAACAGAAACACAGGACACCCAGUUAAACUUGAACUUCAGAUAAACAACGAAUAGUUUCUUUAGCAUAAGUAUGUCCCAGAUGUUGCAUGGCCAAAGGACACGAAUCUAUACACUUCUAGGUUCCCCGGGUGAUGCAAUGCCCAGCUGCGGUGAAGAGAGAAGCGAGGAAGGGGAGGUACCGAGGGAGAGGGAGACGCGAGGAAGCCUGUGGAACCGUCUUUCGUUUGAUGCCACUUGUUUGCAGCUUUUGUGGGAUCGAAAAGCAGGGUGAAAACCAUUUGUUUUAAAUAAUAAAGUUUGUUCUUCACUCUGACCCCAAACAGGAUCACAAAGGGUACUAGAUAGAGUCCCUGUCUGGGUUCUUUUGCCUUAGCGAGAGUCCCUGGGGAGGGACAGGACCACCGUAUGGAACCGUGGUUGCCCGUACUCACCACUAGGUGGUGCUCCUGCCUGGGAAACCGAUCUGCUGGCUGAUGGCUUAGCAAAGAAGGGCCAGAAGCACUGACAAAUGGGCUGAUAGGGCACCGCCCGUGAAACAGCAGAUGCUCUUCAGGCAUUUUGCCAAGUCUUGGAGUUUCGGGCCUGUAUUCUGUUGGAACCAGCUACUAGAUAAUGCAAUCGAAUUCCUCACAUCCAAUUCCAGAACCAUCCAGCCACACGAGUGAACUGAUGAGGAGGGUGCUUUGGUGAAAGAGGUUGUAAACAACAUGUGGAUAGACUCAGGCUAGAAAGGAGGGUUUGAGAAGAGAGAUGCUGAUGUGUGCGGAGGAAUCCCAGGAUCCAGAAAAGCAGGAGGAAAGUAAGGCAUGAGGAGAAGCAAGGAUAGAAGCAGAUGUAGCUCAGAACCCUGGGGUACAACCUGCCUUUAAUGCUGAAAAAGAGAGACAGAACUAAAAAUGGCCCAUUCAUGCCCUGCAGAGUCUGGCUAUAACCACAUCUGGCAGGUUGCUUGCAAAUUAAAGCAAAAUAUUUUUAUCUUUAUCCUGCAAGGAACAAAAGUUAAAAAAAAUUUUUUAAUGACCAUAAAUACUUUUUAAACAUUUACUUACCAUCUUCGGGAUUAUAAAAGCUCAGAUAAAAUUCUAAAAAAUAAAAUUAGAUUUUUUUUUUUCCCACAGGCCUUAAAGGCCUUUGUGAGGGAUUACAAAAAAAUUAAGCAGAUACAGAGAAAAUAUCCAUUUUCUUCAGAGGAAGGAUAGAAAGAGUGAAAGUACAUUGCUCUAUUGUUUCUAGAUGUUGGCAUAUUUAUUUUUUAAUCAGGAGGUAGUAUUUAUAAGCUUAAUAUGGGUAUCACAUGGAAUCUUGCUCUUUUAGCUCCUAAAAAUUGAGAAUGUAAUGUGUACUUGAGUUCCUUCCUGAGUUGGGAGCAGGGUAGGCUGAUAGUGGCUCUCAAGGGUGUGUCCCAACCCCUGGAACCAGUUACCUUAUUUGGAAAAAGUGUCUUUACAGAUGUGAUUAAGUUAAGGGUCUUGCGAUGAGAAGAUAAUCUGGAUUAUCUUGAUGGGCCUGAUUGUAAUCACACGUAUCCUUAUAGAGGAGGGAAGCAGAGGGAGAGUAGACAGACAGAAGAGGAGAAUGUGGCCUGGAAGCAGAGAUUAGAGCAUUGUGGCCACAAGCCAAGGAAUGACAGUAGCCACCAGAAGCUCCUGGAAGGAGCAAGGAAUGGAUUCUCCCCUAGAACCUCUGGAAGAAGCAUGACCUCUGACAACUCAUUUCACACUUCUGGCCUCCAGAACUAUAAGCAUCAGGGCGGAAGGGUUUCACUCCGUUGGAAUUCUCCACUCUGAAAAUCUUCUCUGGUGGGGUAGGAAGAAUUCAAAUUACAAGAAAGAAUGCAGCGUGAAGGAAUUUUAGUAGCAACCGCCAGACUCUGAAUUGGUUCACUGACCCUGGAUAAAUGAAUGAAGUCUAGAAUUGGGAAAGGGGUCUUCAGCCUUGUACUCUAUCUUCUUGGGCAAAUCUCUUAACCUCUCUGAGCUUCAGUUCUGUCUUCUACAAAUGAAGAGGGUUCGAUCAGACGAUUUCUAAGAUAUCUUACUGCUCUAACUUCUGUAUUUUUUCACGCAGUCCUGCUUCCACAAGCCAACAACUUCUUCAUGAUUUCUCCCUGAUAUCCAGGGA